rnacentral:rRNA from 1 species
GAUGAACGCUGGCGGCGUGCCUAAUACAUGCAAGUCGAGCGAACAGAUGAGGAGCUUGCUCCUCUGACGUUAGCGGCGGACGGGUGAGUAACACGUGGAUAACCUACCUAUAAGACUGGGAUAACUUCGGGAAACCGGAGCUAAUACCGGAUAAUAUAUUGAACCGCAUGGUUCAAUAGUGAAAGUCGGUUUUGCUGUCACUUAUAGAUGGAUCCGCGCCGCAUUAGCUAGUUGGUAAGGUAACGGCUUACCAAGGCAACGAUGCGUAGCCGACCUGAGAGGGUGAUCGGCCACACUGGAACUGAGACACGGUCCAGACUCCUACGGGAGGCAGCAGUAGGGAAUCUUCCGCAAAGGGCGAAAGCCUGACGGAGCAACGCCGCGUGAGUGAUGAAGGUCUUCGGAUCGUAAAACUCUGUUAUUAGGGAAGAACAAAUGUGUAAGUAACUAUGCACGUCUUGACGGUACCUAAUCAGAAAGCCACGGCUAACUACGUG